rnacentral:rRNA from 1 species
CCUACGGGAGUCAGCAGUGGGGAAUAUUGGACAAUGGGCGCAAGCCUGAUCCAGCCAUGCCGCGUGUGUGAAGAAGGCCUUCGGGUUGUAAAGCACUUUUAUCCGGAAAGAAAAGCUUUGGGUUAAUACCCUGAAGUCAUGACGGUACCGGAAGAAUAAGCACCGGCUAACUUCGUGCCAGCAGCCGCGGUAAUACGAAGGGUGCAAGCGUUACUCGGAAUUACUGGGCGUAAAGCGUGCGUAGGUGGUUUGUUAAGUCUGAUGUGAAAGCCCUAGGCUCAACCUGGGAAUUGCAUUGGAUACUGGCAGGCUAGAGUGCGGUAGAGGAUAGUGGAAUUCCCGGUGUAGCAGUGAAAUGCGUAGAGAUCGGGAGGAACAUCUGUGGCGAAGGCGACUAUCUGGGCCAGCACUGACACUGAGGCACGAAAGCGUGGGGAGCAAACAGGAUUAGAUACCCUGGUAGUCCACGCCCUAAACGAUGCGAACUGGAUGUUGGGUGCAACUAGGCACUCAGUAUCGAAGCUAACGCGUUAAAGUUCGCCGCCUGGGGAAGUUACGGUUGCAAGACGAGAAGUUAAUUAGAGUUAGAGCGNGAGAGNGCGAGGCGACGACGAGGAGGAGG